rnacentral:rRNA from 1 species
AUUGAACGCUGGCGGCAGGCCUAACACAUGCAAGUCGAGCGGCAUCGUGACCUUCGGGUUGCCGGCUAGCGGCGGACGGGUGAGUAAUGCCUAGGAAUCUGCGCGAUAGUGGGGGACAACGUUUCGGAAGGAACGCUAAUACCGCAUACGUCCUACGGGCUAAAGUGGGGACUGUUCGGACCUCGCGCUAUCGGAUGAGCCUAGGUCGGAUUAGCUAGUUGGUGGGGUGAAGGCUCACCAAGGCGACGAUCCGUAACUGGUCUGAGAGGAUGAUCAGCCACACUGGAACUGAGACACGGUCCAGACUCCUACGGGAGGCAGCAGUGGGGAAUAUUGGACAAUGGGCGAAAGCCUGAUCCAGCCAUGCCGCGUGUGUGAAGAAGGUCUUCGGAUUGUAAAGCACUUUAAGUCGGGAGGAAGGGCUGUAGGUUAAUUCCUUGCAGUUUUGACGUUACCGACAGAAUAAGCACCGGCUCACUUCGUGCCAGCAGCCGCAGUAA